AACGCUAGCUACAGGCUUAACACAUGCAAGUCGAGGGGAAACGACAUCGAAAGCUUGCUUUUGGUGGGCGUCGACCGGCGCACGGGUGAGUAACGCGUAUCCAACCUGCCCACCACUUGGGGAUAACCUUGCGAAAGUAAGACUAAUACCCAAUGAUAUCCCACGAAGGCAUCCGAAUGGGAUUAAAGAUUUAUCGGUGAUGGAUGGGGAUGCGUCUGAUUAGCUUGUUGGCGGGGUAACGGCCCACCAAGGCGACGAUCAGUAGGGGUUCUGAGAGGAAGGUCCCCCACAUUGGAACUGAGACACGGUCCAAACUCCUACGGGAGGCAGCAGUGAGGAAUAUUGGUCAAUGGGCGAGAGCCUGAACCAGCCAAGUAGCGUGCAGGACGACGGCCCUAUGGGUUGUAAACUGCUUUUAUAAGGGAAUAAAGUGAGUCUCGUGAGACUUUUUGCAUGUACCUUAUGAAUAAGGACCGGCUAAUUCCGUGCCAGCAGCCGCGGUAAUACGGAAGGUCGGGCGUUAUCCGGAUUUAUUGGGUUUAAAGGGAGCGUAGGCCGGAGAUUAAGCGUGUUGUGAAAUGUAGUGGCUCAACCUCUGCACUGCAGCGCGAACUGGUCUUCUUGAGUACGCACAACGUGGGCGGAAUUCGUGGUGUAGCGGUGAAAUGCUUAGAUAUCACGAAGAACUCCGAUUG
rnacentral:rRNA from 1 species